rnacentral:rRNA from 1 species
UACGUAGGCAGCGAGCGUUGUUCGGAAUUACUGGGCGUAAAGAGUGUGUAGGCGGUGCUCUAAGUUCGGUGUGAAAUCUCCCGGCUUAACUGGGAGGGUGCGCCGGAAACUGGAGUGCUCGAGCGUGGGAGAGGAAAGCGGAAUUCCUGGUGUAGCGGUGAAAUGCGUAGAUAUCGGGAGGAACACCUGUGGCGAAAGCGGCUCACUGGACCAUAACUGACGCUGAGGCACGAAAGCUAGGGGAGCAAACAGG